CAACCCUCAAGCCCGGCUUGGUGUUGGGUCGCGCCGCCUGGCCGACCCCAAAGACAGUGGUGGCGCCCCCCGACCCUCAGCGUAGUAACUUUCUCGCUGUAGGGCCCGUGGUGGUGUCGACACCCUAAACUCUCAC
rnacentral:misc_RNA from 2 species